UGUCAAAACAAUCGGUUCAUUUUGAUGAUUAUCUUGCAUGGCACAUCUGGCAACACCAGGACGAGUCCGACAACUUCCUCAUUUCAUAUGCCCGAUAAAUUCUAGAAGGUAAACAACUAGCAUGGUAGGAUUUGUUGCAGUAAUAACAUGAUGCCCAGUAUACCUCUUCCUCAAUAGGUGAAACAAAUUGGUGGACCAUGCAGACUUGACAAAUAAGCAUCCCUUGCCCCUCUGGAAUUUCACUGUCCUGAUGAAGAGUUGAAAAUGGCUCAACAUCAACAUCCAGCUCACCAUGACAUGGCUGAACAUGAUCCUUGCCAAGAGCUGAAGAUGGUACAGCAUCAAUGAUUAUAUCUGAAGGAGAGCAGUGAUGACAAAGCCAGUUUGAAGAAACAAUUAAGCUUAAAUCAACAUCAGUUUGUUCUUGGUAAUUUAGACAGUCCCUGUGGAACCAUCGGUCACAACCAUCGCAACCAACCCAAAGGAUUCCUCCUUCAUCAUUGCAAUGACCUCUGAUAUUGCAUACUUGACAGAGGAUCCAAUGAUUGGGACAAAAAUGUCUGCCAAUUCUUGUGGGAUCAGGCCUCCAGUUACUAAGGGAUGUCCUCGUACAAACUGACCGCAUGUGUGGCAAAGAGGAUCAUGAUUACAGGGAUUGUCUCCCCCUGGUCCUGGAAUGGGCAAGGUGUAAUCCGCUUCUGAGGCUGCAUUUCACACAGAUUUUUGAAGGUUACCUCCCCUUUCCAAUCAUCAAAUGAGGAUUUGCAUAUCCCAAACUGACUGACAAAUCAGAAAACUGUUUUUUGAGUGGCCGGAAUAAGGCCACAUCCAGGGGCUGCAAUAUGUGUGUUGUGUGUGGAGGCAGGCACAACAACUCGACCCUAUUUUCUCUGGCCUUCUCAAUGAUGUUGAGUGAAAGAUGACUCUCGUGGUUAUCCAUGAUCAGUAGUAAGGGUCUCUGCUUGGAUGCGUGUUUCAGGAAUACCUUGUCAAACCACUUCUCAAACAAAUCAGCAUCCAUGUACCCAUUUGUGGAAGUUCCGAAAAGCCAUUCUUGAGGUAUUCCUGUGAAUAAACAAAAAUGUCCCACCAGGAAACGACUUUUCGAAGAUUAUGAAGGAAGGAAGAACUCUCCCAUCAGCGGACACACAAAUUGUAGCUGUUGUAUGGCAAUAUAUGGAAAAGAAGGAGAGAAGACU